rnacentral:rRNA from 1 species
UACGUAGGGGGCAAGCGUUGUCCGGAAUUACUGGGCGUAAAGCGCACGUAGGCGGACUGGUCAGUUAGGGGUGAAAUCCCGGGGCUCAACCCCGGAACUGCCUUUAAUACUGCCAGUCUUGAGUUCGAGAGAGGUGAGUGGAAUUCCGAGUGUAGAGGUGAAAUUCGUAGAUAUUCGGAGGAACACCAGUGGCGAAGGCGGCUCACUGGCUCGAUACUGACGCUGAUGAGCGAAAGCCAGGGGAGCAAACGGG